rnacentral:misc_RNA from 1 species
UUUCCGUAGGUGAACCUGCGGAAGGAUCAUUACCGAGCGAGGGCCCUCUGGGUCCAACCUCCCACCCGUGUCUCUUGUACAUCGUUGCUUCGGCGGGCCCGCCUCACGGCCGCCGGGGGGCAUCUCGCCCCCGGGCCCGCGCCCGCCGAAGACACCCACGAACUCUGUCUGAAGAAUGGAGUCUGAGUGAAAUGAUAAAUUAUUUAAAACUUUCAACAACGGAUCUCUUGGUUCCG